rnacentral:sRNA from 1 species
UCGAGCGAAAGCGAGAAAGCGUUGCCGCAGGCAACGACCCGAAGGGCGAAGCGCGCAGCGCUGAGUCAUCCUUCCCCCACCACCA